CUCGUCAUCUUCUUCGUUCAGCGGGGCCAUUUCCACUCGCUCGGCGGGAGUGGUGAUGAUGUCAUACUUGCGGGUCUUCUUCAACCUCUUUCCCGACCUGGAAGAAGAGAGGCACGCUCCUGAGACUCCGUGGUGCCCACAGGAACUCUUACGGACCCUGGACCUCGCCCACCCUCUGGGUCCUCACCUGCAAAGUGGAGACGACUAUGCCUGCGCUUGAGCACUGAAAAGCCCAGUGAUCGAGAGAAAUAGUACCCCAAUGCAGUAUUUUUAAAAAGGCAAAGUUAAUGCAAAGAAAACCUGCAAUGAACCAAAGAUGAAAAUGUUCAAUGAAGACAGGAUCCAGCCCCGGGGACACACCUGUCCCCUGUCCCCCUCAUCCCCGCCCCAAGCACAGAUGUCACACGUGGCACUGGCAGGCCAACCAGGUGGGAUCUGGGUCAAGGCUCGGGCCCUCUCUACCUGUGUGAUCUGAGGUAUGAGGAAGCCUAGAAAAUGCAAACUCUUGAUUUGAAAACCUCGUUGGACACCUGGAACUUGAAACCUGAUUUAGUCACUGGCCCUGGGGCAGGACUGACUGCUGACCCUGGAAGAAGGUUCAGGAGGCUCGGACUUUCGCUCUGCUUCAUGGGAGUGGAUCCCUAUCACCUCUAAAAUCACCUCCCUUCUUCCUGAUGGUUUAUAGUGUCUUGUUAUGAGAAAGUUAACCUGGUUGGUUUAAAAUAAGACCCUUGACCAGUUACCCGGGGAAGAAGCUAGAACGUCACGGCCUACUUCCAUCAAUGCCAGCCAUUCCAACCAUGUGACCUCAGAAAAUAAACUCCAGAUGACACCA